rnacentral:misc_RNA from 1 species
UGGGUCGGCCUCUGGCCGCCCUUUUUUUUUUUUUUUUUUGUUACAAGUACUUUUGAGGUUAAUGUUAUUAGAGUGGAAUUAUAUGUAUUUAAUUAGAAAUAUUUGGGGGGUCGAAGUUAUUAAGCAUGUAUGUUUAGGAAUGUAUUUAGUUGUGUGGCAGUUUAUGCCUGCAUCAACGAACGAAAAUGUAGAAAUCGGUGGGAAUUUACUUACGGAUGAGAGAGCUAAGUUUUUACCGACUGCUUCUUCCAGCGUCCAACCUGCGAAUCCUUUGUCGUCUGCUAGCAAUUGCAUGGGAGUCGUCAGUCGGGUGAUUUUGUUGUGCAGCCGCGAAAACACUACGCGACAUAACAACAUGAGUGCGAAUAUCUUAAGUAGUUUAUCGUGCAAAAAUGUUAACGUUGUGUCAAACUUAGUUACAAAGCUUAGCAGUCGUCUAGGCAAUGUACGUCUUUCUUCAACUGUGGCGGAUGCUGCCAAACUUGCAUCAAAUGUCAGUGAAGCCCAGCCACCACCAGAGAAAAAAAUUAAUAAAGCUAUGUUAGCUUAUUUAGAAAGAGCCAAAGCUCAUGAUUCAUUCAUCCUUAAAGAAAAAACAGACUUUCAGAUAGGAAAAAGGCAUUUAGCAAAUAUGAUGGGUGAGAAUCCAGAAACUUUUACUCAAGAUGAUAUUGAUAGAGCAAUUGAGUAUCUGUUUCCAUCGGGUCUGUUUGAUAAAGCCGCUAGACCUAUUAUGAAACCUCCAGAAGAAAUCUUUCCUCCAAAGAAAGCAGCAGAGUUUGAUUUAAAUGGUAGACCGUUCCAUUUUCUAUUUUACACCACAAGGCCUCAGUAUUAUGAAAUGCUUUAUACUAUGGUGGAAGAAAUGCAAAAAUUAAAUGCUAUUGAAGAUGACAUGAUAAGCCAAAAUGUUGCUCCAAAAGAAAAAUUAGAUAUGGGUGCUUCAGAUUGGAUGACUCAUCUUGAAUUAGAAAAAUUUCUUAUAGAAAAUGUUGACGAGAAACAUUAUGAAUAUUUUCUUUCAACUGCCAAAAGGUUAGCAGAACAUCCUUGGGCCUUCAUGGCUAAAGAUACUAUUAUGAAAUAUAGGGCACCAAGGACCAGUCUCAUUCAAUCUUUUGAUAUUCCAGACGUGGAAUAUGACGCUGAAGGCAGACCAUUUAUUACUGUGUCAGAUUGUAUGCGAAAAACGGCACGCGGUGAAGUCACAGUUAAAGGCAAGGGAUCGGGAAAAAUUACGGUCAAUGGAAAACCGAUGUAUAUUCAUUUCCCAAGAGCUCAGGAUCGCGAACAGAUUAUUUUCCCUCUGCAAUUCACGAAGCUCAUGGAUCAGGUCGAUGUCGAGGCGACAGUAAGGUUCGGUGGACCCACCGGUCAGUCCGGAUGCAUACGCUGGGGCAUCGCUUGGGCUCUUCGCAGUUUCGUCGACAGAGCUACUCUCGAAAAAAUGCGAAUAGCUGGAUUACUCACGAGAGAUUGGCGAAGACGCGAGCGCAAGAAGCCAGGUCAAGAGGGAGCCAGAAGGAAGUUCACUUGGAAAGCGCGUUAGCCGAGAGGUGUUAUUAAUUUUUGUUAACAAUUGACAUUCAAUACGAAUUUUUAUCAUCGUGUUUAUUAGGCUGUAUGCCAAGUAGCCUCAUGCCCUGACCAAGAACUCUUCUAGCAACAUGCAUGAG